GCACUACUUUUCUCAACUAUUGCACCCUAUAUUGGGUGGGCCGGUUCGCCGGCUAUGGAAAUAAAUUGCCGUCGCAAUAAACCAUUCGGACCCGGGGGCAGUACCCGGCGCCUCCACCAAAACCCGCCGAAGGCGGGCUUCGGCGGGGGCGAACCAGGAUCGACGAGGGCGUAAAGGGCGUGUUUUUUCCCGGUAUGGUUCCGCCGUUAUCGGGCUAUGCAAUAGUUGCAAACGACAACUAUGCUCCGGUUGCUCAGGCUGCGUAACGCAGUUUGAAAGACCAAAUCUAAAGUCCUGAUGGGUUAAGCUCCGUCAGGCGGGGUUCGGAGGCACCUGGCA
rnacentral:tmRNA from 1 species